UACGGCCAUAUCACGUUGAAACACCAAUUCCUAUACGAUCAACGAAGUUAAGCAACGUCGAGCCUGGUCAGUACGUAAAUGGGUGAUCUUUUUGGGAAUACUCGGCGCUGUAAG